rnacentral:lncRNA from 1 species
GGCCUUAUAUGGCUUCUUAAACAAUGAAAUCUAUGACACUUACAAUUCAAAGUCAUAGGAAAACUUAAAACAUUAGCACAGAGCUACUACAUCAAACUCUUUUAAGACCUCUAUAUAUCAUAGAAGCUGUCUUCUGCAGAUUCCAAAAAGAACUAAGAACAUAAGAAAAAAUAGCAAACUGCUUCAUGAAUUUGGCCCUCCUGAGAUGUGUACUAUACUACCAUUCAUAAGUUAAUGAUAGGUCGUAUUUUAUCGAUCUGAAUGUUGGGUAAUGAUUUAAUUAUAACUGCUUUGAUCCACUUGAGUUUUCAACAUGACACAACAAGAUCAUUUAGUUGCAAUAUGCAGCAUUCAAGGGACAACUUAACCCUUAGGCAGAAGGUCGAGGCCUAGGCCAAUACCUGAACACCCAAUAUCUGAAAAAAAAUUCAAAAAAAUAUGAAAACAGAAAAUCAGAAAUAAAUUAAGAGAAAUUAGAGUGAUUAGGUAAUUUAAGGAACUUUUUACAUCUAUUUGAGAAACAAUUACAUUGUAACAAAAUACAUUGACUUGUAAAUUUGCAAAUUUUCCCCACAGUUUGUGCAGCAUGACUAAUUAAUCAUCAAAGAAAGAUCAUAUUUAAUACUUGAAGCAACUUAAUGCAACAAGUCUACAGAACGAUUAAUAAUUAAUGCCAGUGUUUUAAAAUGCAGUGCAUAAGGCUGCAUCUUGUAUCUGAUUCCU